rnacentral:rRNA from 1 species
GUUCCUACGGGGGGCAGCAGUGGGGAAUAUUGGACAAUGGGCGCAAGCCUGAUCCAGCCAUGCCGCGUGAGUGAAGAAGGCCUUCGGGUUGUAAACUGCUUUUGUACGGAACGAAACGGUCUGGGUUAAUACCCUGGGCUAAUGACGGUACCGUAAGAAUAAGCACCGGCUAACUACGUGCCAGCAGCCGCGGUAAUACGUAGGGUGCAAGCGUUAAUCGGAAUUACUGGGCGUAAAGCGUGCGCAGGCGGUUUUGUAAGACAGGCGUGAAAUCCCCGGGCUCAACCUGGGAAUUGCGCUUGUGACUGCAAGGCUGGAGUGCGGCAGAGGGGGAUGGAAUUCCGCGUGUAGCAGUGAAAUGCGUAGAUAUGCGGAGGAACACCGAUGGCGAAGGCAAUCCCCUGGGCCUGCACUGACGCUCAUGCACGAAAGCGUGGGGAGCAAACAGGAUUAGAUACCCCAGUAGUCUU